AACUAAAAUAUUCGCAAAGUAAAUAAUUAAAGACAUAAGUAUACGCAGUUGGACGGCAAUAAUAUUUUUUUUAAAUUACAGUAGUUUUAAUUAUUUACUUAUUUAUUUUAAGUGUAAUCCGUACUAUCAUAUGGUGGUGGUAAGAUGGUCCUUGUUUAGGCUAGUCUUGUCGUUUGAAAGAAGAAUUGGGCAUUUGAAGACCAGAUUGACUAAGAAAAGAGAUCAGCCAAAUUGAGUUAAACCAGCUUAAUUCAGAAAACAAGCUUAGAGCUUGAGGAACUUGAAGAUCUUGAGCUUGAAGAUCCUGCAGGUGCAGUGAUUUGGCCUCUAACCUUCGAGUUUUACAAGAAGCUGCUGCUGCUUUCUGUUGAACUACUGUAGAAGGAGAUGCACAAUCAAAUACAACUAAGCAAACGCUUUGAACUAAACACUGCUAACUCAACCAUCAAAUCAGAAAUUAUGAAGUUUCCAUACAACUGGCUGUCCAUAGAGAGAGCGCAUUACAAACAGGCUUGGGCUUCUUCGAUGGGACGUUUGCGUGAGAGGAGAGCUGUGGACGCUGGGAUUUGGGGAAAUGAAGGCUUUGGGAUUCGUUAUUAAACUGGUGCUGUAUCAUCCCUUCCAGACCUCAUGCGGUUCUCUCUGCAUUGCUCUCACGUCUGCGUGAAACGAACGUCAAACGGUAACUUAUUCACUACUUUAGGCAAUACUCAUAUGCGCACUCAUUUUUCUGUAUGAACUCUAUAGGCCUACCUUUCUCUUCUCGACAUGCCCCAAGGGACAAAAAUUCCUGUUGUUGUAGCAUGCGCGCUUAAAGGUAGUUGGCGAGGCUUAAGGUCGACGUUUGUAGUCCUCUGGUUUCGUACCAAAUCAACCUUUAUUCGACACGUCUGUUGUCUCGUAAACAUAAAUCCUGGCUCGCUUCACCUCCUAAUGCUCUCUCUUUCUCUCUGUGUGUCUUUAAUAAAGGUAUAAGUACAGAUAAACAGUCAUUAAAUAAGGUCUGGGUUGAGGUUGUCUGGCCAGACAGUGAAAGCAAGGAUCUGUUUGAUAGAACUGAACCAUUAUGCUCAUUAUGUUUUUAAAGAGAGUCUUAUUAAAGAGCCAUUAUGUGUACACACAUCAAACACAGCAAUACAUGCGUAUUUUAAUGCUUAGACAAUAAAGUGCUGUGUUUGUGUGUCGUGAUGAGUUGACCUGAGUCACUUACUUGGACUCUGAAUGCAAACGUGAAUCUUUUGAUCAUGGAGAACGUAUUUGCCUAAAAAGCUGACAGGAAUCACCCAUUCAUAUGUUGAAAUGUGGUCGGUUUAGUCAAGUCGGAUGAUUUGUCAUCUAUUGAUGUAUCUUGAAACCUGUAUGAUGUUUAUCUUGCAGAACACAAAAGAAUUAGAGAAUAGUAUGGUUUUAAUGAUCACAUGAAAAAGAUCAAGUAUUUGUAUAGUGUUUUGGGUAAAUAAAAUGAGGCUCGGAUGGAGAAUAAUGACAGAGAAACAGGUUAGGAUCCUGCUACUGAAAAGACCACAUCAGACCAGCUGGUUAUGCUGAUUACUGCUGGUCAAACAGCAUAGCUAUGAUGUUAACUAGACAAAAAUGUUGGUCAACUGGGUUUAUAUUUUAUGUUUUAAG